AUUGAACGCUGGCGGCAGGCCUAACACAUGCAAGUCGAGCGGAUGAAGGGAGCUUGCUCCUGGAUUCAGCGGCGGACGGGUGAGUCAUGCCUAGGAAUCUGCCUGGUAGUGGGGGAUAACGUCCGGAAACGGGCGCUAAUACCGAAUACGUCCUGAGGGAGAAAGUGGGGGAUCUUCGGACCUCACGCUAUCAGAUGAGCCUAGGUCGGAUUAGCUAGUUGGUGGGGUAAAGGCCUACCAAGGCGACGAUCCGUAACUGGUCUGAGAGGAUGAUCAGUCACACUGGAACUGAGACACGCUCCAGACUCCUACGGGAGGCAGCAGUGGGGAAUAUUGGACAAUGGGCGAAAGCCUGAUCCAGCCAUGCCGCGUGUGUGAAGAAGGUCUUCGGAUUGUAAAGCACUUUAAGUUGGGAGGAAGGGCAGUAAGUUAAUACCUUGCUGUUUUGACGUUACCAACAGAAUAAGCACCGGCUAACUUCGUG
rnacentral:rRNA from 1 species